rnacentral:rRNA from 2 species
GCGUGCUUAACACAUGCAAGUCGAGCGGAAAGGCCCUUCGGGGUACUCGAGCGGCGAACGGGUGAGUAACACGUGAGCAACCUGCCCCAGGCUUUGGGAUAACCCCGGGAAACCGGGGCUAAUACCGAAUAUGACCUCCGAUCGCAUGGUUGGUGGUGGAAAGUUUUUCGGCUUGGGAUGGGCUCGCGGCCUAUCAGCUUGUUGGUGGGGUGAUGGCCUACCAAGGCGACGACGGGUAGCCGGCCUGAGAGGGCGACCGGCCACACUGGGACUGAGACACGGCCCAGACUCCUACGGGAGGCAGCAGUGGGGAAUAUUGCACAAUGGGCGGAAGCCUGAUGCAGCGACGCCGCGUGAGGGAUGACGGCCUUCGGGUUGUAAACCUCUUUCAGCAGGGACGAAGCGUAAGUGACGGUACCUGCAGAAGAAGCGCCGGCCAACUACGUGCCAGCAGCCGCGGUAAGACGUAGGGCGCGAGCGUUGUCCGGAUUUAUUGGGCGUAAAGAGCUCGUAGGCGGCUUGUCGCGUCGACUGUGAAAACCCGCAGCUCAACUGCGGGCCUGCAGUCGAUACGGGCAGGCUAGAGUUCGGUAGGGGAGACUGGAAUUCCUGGUGUAGCGGUGAAAUGCGCAGAUAUCAGGAGGAACACCGGUGGCGAAGGCGGGUCUCUGGGCCGAUACUGACGCUGAGGAGCGAAAGCGUGGGGAGCGAACAGGAUUAGAUACCCUGGUAGUCCACGCUGUAAACGUUGGGCG